rnacentral:rRNA from 1 species
AUUGAACGCUGGCGGCAGGCCUAACACAUGCAAGUCGAACGGUAACAGGAAGAAGCUUGCUUCUUUGCUGACGAGUGGCGGACGGGUGAGUAAUGUCUGGGAAACUGCCUGAUGGAGGGGGAUAACUACUGGAAACGGUAGCUAAUACCGCAUAACGUCGCAAGCCCAAAGAGGGGGACCUUCGGGCCUCUUGCCAUCGGAUGUGCCCAGAUGGCAUUAGCUAGUAGGUGGGGUAACGGCUCACCUAGGCGACGAUCCCUAGCUGGUCUGAGAGGAUGACCAGCCACACUGGAACUGAGACACGGUCCAGACUCCUACGGGAGGCAGCAGUGGGGAAUAUUGCACAAUGGGCGCAAGCCUGAUGCAGCCAUGCCGCGUGUAUGAAGAAGGCCUUCGGGUUGUAAAGUACUUUCAGCGGGGAGGAAGGGAGUAAAGUUAAUACCUUUGCUCAUUGACGUUACCCGCAGAAGAAGCACCGGCUAACUCCGU